GGUGUUAAUGAAUUUUAAUAUUAAGUGUAGUCUGCCCAAUGAUUAUAUUAAAUGGCUGCAGUAUAAAUAACUGUACAAAGGUAGCAUAAUAAUUUGUUUUUUAAUUAAAAAAUAGAAUAAAUGAUUAAAUGAAAUAUAUACUUUAUUAAUUAAAUAAAUUAAAAUUUUUAUUUAAGUAAAAAAACUUAAAUAUUUAUAAAAGACGACAGGACCCUAUAGAAUUUUAUUUAUUAUUUUAUUUUAAUAAUAAUUAUUUUAUAAAAUUAAAAUAAUAAAUUUUAUUGGGGUAAUUAAAAAAUUAAAAUAAUUUUUUUAAAAUUUUACAUUAAUUAUUGAAAUACUAUAUCGUAAAUUUUAAAUUAUUAAAAUUAAUUACCUUAGGGAUAACCAGCAUAAUUUUUUUUAAAAGACCCUCUUAAUAAAAAAGAUCAUGACCCC
rnacentral:rRNA from 1 species